rnacentral:rRNA from 1 species
GAGCGCGCCUUCGGGUGAGCGGCGGACGGGUUAGUAACGCGUGGGAACGUGCCCUUCUCUACGGAAUAGCCUCUGGAAACGGAGAGUAAUACCGUAUACGCCCUUUGGGGGAAAGAUUUAUCGGAGAAGGAUCGGCCCGCGUUAGAUUAGUUAGUUGGUGGGGUAACGGCCUACCAAGACGACGAUCUAUAGCUGGUUUGAGAGGAUGAUCAGCAACACUGGGACUGAGACACGGCCCAGACUCCUACGGGAGGCAGCAGUGGGGAAUCUUAGACAAUGGGCGCAAGCCUGAUCUAGCCAUGCCGCGUGAGUGAUGAAGGCCUUAGGGUCGUAAAGCUCUUUCGCCAGGGAUGAUAAUGACAGUACCUGGUAAAGAAACCCCGGCUAACUCCGUGCCAGCAGCCGCGGUAAUACGGAGGGGGUUAGCGUUGUUCGGAAUUACUGGGCGUAAAGCGCGCGUAGGCGGAUUAGUCAGUUAGAGGUGAAAUCCCAGGGCUCAACCCUGGAACUGCCUUUAAUACUGCUAGUCUUGAGUUCGAGAGAGGUGAGUGGAAUUCCGAGUGUAGAGGUGAAAUUCGUAGAUAUUCGGAGGAACACCAGUGGCGAAGGCGGCUCACUGGCUCGAUACUG